UACGAAGGGUGCAAGCGUUACUCGGAAUUACUGGGCGUAAAGCGUGCGUAGGUGGUUUGUUAAGUCUGUUGUGAAAGCCCGGCUCAACCUGGGAAUGGCAAUGGAUACUGGCAAGCUAGAGUGCGGUAGAGGGUAGUGGAAUUCCCGGUGUAGCGGUGAAAUGCGUACGAGAUCGGGAGGAACACCAGUGGCGAAGGCGGCUAUCUGGACGGUUCUGACACUAAGACUCGAAAGCGUGGGAGCAACAGG
rnacentral:rRNA from 1 species